rnacentral:tRNA from 1 species
GUCUUCAUGGCUUAGUUGGUUAAAGCGUCGGUCUCAUAGUUGCUAUGACGUGGUCGCAGACCAGGCAAUCCGAAGGUCGCGAGUUCGACUCUCGCUGAGGACA